CCUUCAUUUCUAUAUCCAUCAAAUACCUAAACAGCAAUAAAUAAAGCUGAGCUGUGUACUAUAAGGGUAAUGUGUAAUGUAUGUUGUAAUGUCCAGUGUUGUAUACAGCAGUACUGUGUGUCGAAGACAAUUUUCCUAUCCUGAGUUAUUUCAUUAUUUACCCUAGUAGUCAUAUGGCACACACAUGGAAUUCAACAGAAAGAUGUUAAAGGUGUUUAACAGAAAGAUGUUAAAGGUGUUCAACAGAAAGAUGUUAAAGGUGUUCAACAGAAAGAUGUUAAAGGUGUUUAACAGAAAGAUGUUAAAGGUGUUCAACAGAAAGAUGUUAAAGGUGUUCAACAGAAAGAUGUUAAUGGUGGUUUGUUAAAGAGGUAUGCAGCGUAAAAAAAGCCUGCCGUCACGUCGUGCCAGGCUUUUUUGUGCUAUACUCGACUUGAGUGGUUUGAGUCACUGAUGUGAUCUUCCUUUCUCGCGUCCCCUCGGGCAGUGGAGGAGAUCUUCGUGGACUAUACUCAGCUUUGUCUCAAUGUAGUAAGUUGGUGGUCUGUUAAUAUUCCUCUAGCGGUG
rnacentral:lncRNA from 1 species